CCUUAAAUGGUACUGUCUGAAAAUAGGCUCGCCUAGGUUCAUGGUGGUAUCUGCCCCGAUUCCUGUUAGUAUCGGUUGCAGAUUUCCUAAAUCUGAACCCAGUGAUGUUUCUUAUGAAAUGAUGACCUAUCCCAGUGUU